CUAACCGGGAGCCAGCCUUCGGUUUGCCCUUGAUGUCUUCACCUUUCAACUUUUCUACUGCUAGCGUAGCGUCGUGAUGCAUUCAGCCGUAUUCUAUGCAAAAAUUAUAGUCACAAUGAUGCGGUUUCUGUAUAUUCAUUAUUCAUUAAUUACAAAUUUUUCUACACGAAAAGGAUUCCCGCUUUCUCUCUCUCUCUCUCUCUCUCUGAAUUCUAAUUGUUUCUUUCUGAUUCACGCUUCAGCAGGAUUCGAAGGUUUAAGCAUCGGCUUUCAAGCUCAAAGAAAGUGAUCACGACAUUUACUUGGAUUGGCCCCUACAUCUCUUUACUUCCGGGAUAAAAAGUGUCCAAACAUCUGUUUGUUCUUUUCACUUGUUUUGACAAAGUGGCAGAGAUAUAAUGAUGUAACAGAAUCUUUUUUCUCUCGGAUGCAAAUGCCCAGUUGGUACCCUUGGGUUAGCUGGGCAUGAAUGUACUGCUUUUAGGCUGCAAAUUGGUCUCCAGAGAAUUGCCAGUUCAACAAAUGGUCGGAUGUUUGCUUGACUUCAUGAAAGGUAAUUAAGCUCUCCCUUUGUCUGCCACUGAUAAACUCGUAAAACGAUGCUGAUUUUAUUCUGUGAACGUCUUUUAGCAACUGUAUCUCUUAAGCUUGGCUGCCUGCUUAACUUGGCUUAGUAACAUAAAUCGCCCUCGGGUUUAUUGAGGAGAAUUGUAUUCAUGUUUCAUAAGUAUGCACAUUGGUGGAGUGUAUCAAUAGAGGAAAGGACAGUUUCAGCCGGGCAUCAAACCAUAUGCUUGGAAUGAUAUUUGAACUGGUAAGGUAUCAGAGAUCGUUGGCUUGUGAUAUCAUAUGUCCUCAGGUUGCAAGUGAGCCAGGUGGCCCCAACCUAUCUGCCUCCUUGAAUAAUAUCUUCCAUGUAGACUGUAAUUGAGGAACAAUUAUCUCAUAUUCCCAAUUAAAAAUAUUAGGUGAGGAGGAGGUACUCAAAAAGAUGAAAUCACCAAGAUAUUAUUGAAAAGCAAUUAUUCUCAUUUGCUGUUUUUGUCAACAUGUGUAAGGGGAAGGUACGUGGCCUUUCACCUAAUUUAGAUUUGAAGAAUCAACACCAGAACUUGUCUCAAAUCCGUUCGAUGGAUUUACCACCAUCUCCAGAAAA